UCGUUCGCGUUCGCGUUCACUCGCUGUUCAUCGUUUUCGUUCGCGUUCUUCGCCGUUAGCUGUCGUUUUCGUUCGCGUUCUUCGCCGUUCGUUCACCGUUCGCGUUCACUCGCUGUUCAUCGUUCGAGUUAGCGUUCGUCUGGAAGCCACGUUGCUCUGCUUCAAACUCUGCGACCAACCCGCGCGCUCCACCCAGCCGUCGAACUGCUCUCUUUUGUCGCCGCCAACUCUGAACCAUAUCAGUCCCCCUUCUCCAACCCAAGCUGUCGCUGCUGCCGGUCAGUCGAUCCACUGCCGCCGCCGGUCCGUCGAUCCACUGCCGCCGCCAGUCCGUCGAGCUCGGUCGCCGUCCGUCCUGUAGCCACUGCCUCAAGUCUCCAACCCCUGCUCUCUUCUUCCACGAGCUCUCGGCGCAUCCCCUGCUCUCUUCAUCUUCUCGCCGUCAUCUGGUCGGCGUCGUCCGUCAAUCAAGGGCCUGUCGGCGUCGUGUUCGAAGGAGAAGCCUUGAAUCACCUUCAGGUUGGAAAUCUCCUUGGAAAUCUCCUUGGUUCAUAAAUACAUUUCUGUCUAGCCCCAGGAUUGAUACUGAAAUUACAAUUGAGGUAUUGUUGAUUCUGUUGGAUAAUUAGUUAAUUGAGGUAUUCUUUUAUGCUCUGUUCCUGUGUUUCGAAGGUCUGGUUGACUGGUUGUGUUGUUAAUUUUUGUUGAAUGAUUAUUUGAUUGUUGGUUUGCUCUGGUCUGCUGCUGUUUAUUGAUUAUUGAUUAUUGAUUAUUUCGAAGAUCUGUGCUGCUGUUCUUGCGUUGUGAUUUUAAUUUACUGAUUGUUGAUUUUGGAUGUCUUGUGAUUGUUGAUUAGUGUGUGUUGCUGACUUGUUGUAUUUGUUUGACUCUUUGGUGAUUUACAUGUGCUUGGAUUGUGACUGUUUUGGUGAUUUAUUGAGUAACACGAUGAAGGAGCAUUAAAGUGUCAAGUUUAGCUUUGGGUUAUUGUGAAAUUCUUUUGCUUUUCCUGAUUUGUAUUUAGUCUUCUCAAGUGAGUACAAUUUUAUUGUGAGAACGGAGACACCUCUCUUGAUUAGAAAUUUGUGGUAUGUUAGGUAACCGGUUAGAUUCAGGUUGCAAUAGCUUUGAGCCUACAGCUCUGGAAGAACGAGGUUUCUGAAUUUCUAGUUUGUGUUAAAUGAUAUGGAUUGUACAGCUGCUACUUUGAGGAACCUUCAUUCUUUUUUAUUUUUGGUGAGGUAACCUUCAUUCUUUUUCAUUGUUGCUUGGACAAAAUUUGAACGAGAGUUGGAAAUGGUUUGAUAUUUUUUGGUCAUGUUUUUUUGGAUGUAAUUGCUUUAUUGAUCAAUGUCAUCACAACAAACAUUUAUAGGAUGAAGAAAGGAUUUUGGUUUCUCUUAUAGCAAACUCUGAAAGCAAAAGCUUCAGUUCAGUAAAAUAUUUAAGUUUGUACUUUAUCUAAAGAUCUUAAGACUUUGGUUGAUGAUAUUUCAUGUAGUGCUUUAAAUUUAGAAGAUAUUUUAAAGACUAUAAUUAUGUUUUAGAGUGUUUAUUUAUAAUUUAUUUAUUAUUUUAAUAUAAAACGGGUUUUCUGGUUGGACCACGGUUGAACCGGUUGGACCACUAAACCAGUGACUAGAGCGGUUCAAUGACCGAUCCAGUUUACAGAACCUUGCUCUCACUUCUCUCUUCUUUGAGUCUCUUUCUCGGUCUCGCCACUCUCUCCCUCAAGCUCUCAGUCUCACCUCUCACGGCUGGUGUUACCCUCGACCUCUCUCGUCUCCAGUAUCUCGCUUCUCUCUCAGCCGUUUUGGACUCGAGCUCGUCGCGCUCUAUUGCCGCCUCAAGCUCGUCGCGCUCUGUCGCCGCCUCAAGCUCAGUCGCUGCCUUCCUGUGCUCGAUUUGCCGAAGUCAGAAGCAAACGGAACCAGAAUCUGGUCCCUCGGGUGGUGGUCGUUGUUGUCUUCUUGGUUGGACGUUAGUUUAGUUGGUCAGCUUCCUUCGUCGUGAGUUGGUCCCUGGGCAGGACCGGAUCAGUCGGUUCAACCAGUAAUCUACCGAUUCAACCAGUGAUCCAGUAGUCUGAUCAGUUGGAUCAUUGGUUCGGUUCGGACAACUAUGUGCUUUAGUAUGGACUAUGGAGACAGUUGAGUCUUGACCCUGGAAUUUAUGAAAGCCCAAUCAUGUUCAUCUCUACUCGCGUUUUGCUCUGCGUUCAUUCGUCUGCUCGUUUCUUCGAAGAUCAUUGUUAGUGGCUUGGUGCUUCAUUCUGCCUCUGUCACUAACUUGCUCCUGCUCUCUCCAUCUCGGGCUGAUCCCUGUGCAGGUGCUGCCGCCGCAUCAGUUCAGUUUUUGCUGCAAAAAAUUGCGAAGGUUCUAUUGAGCGAAGUUAUGAAGCCACUGCAUCGAAUUAUCGAAGACAAGUUGAUUUUCCUCUUACAAUCAUGUAGAACAUCAAAACACAUGUGUCAGAUUCAAGCCCAAAUAAUUACCUAUGGACUCCAACACAAUCAUUUCAUCACUCCAAAUUUCAUCAAUGCGUGUUCCAACCUCGCUAAAAUGGGUCAUGCCCAGAAACUGUUUGACAAAAUGUAUGAACCGAACACUGCCUCAUGGAAUGCCAUGUUGACAGGCUACUCCCAUGUUGAGUUUUACCGGGACGUCGUUGUUUUGUUUGCCCGAAUGAACCGGGACGGUGCAUUGCCCAAUUGCUUUACCUUCCCUAUGGUUGUCAAGUCUUGUGCAAAGGUAAAUGCAGUAAGAGAGGGUAAACAAGUUCAUUGUCUUGUGGUGAGAUACGGUUUCAUGUCAAACUCCUUCGUAGGAACUUCAUUGAUUGACAUGUAUUCGUCAUGGGGAUCCAUUGGGGAUGCUUACAAGGUGUUUGCUGAAAUUCCUCAGAAGAAUGUAGUUGCUUGGACUUGUAUCAUUGUUGCCUACAUUUCAUGUCAUGACAUGCUUUCUGCCCGGUGCUUGUUUGAUGUGGCACCAGAGCGUGAUGUGAUCCUCUGGAACACUAUGGUUUCAGGCUAUAUUGAGGUGGGAGAUAUGGUGGCUGCCAGAAAACUUUUCGAUAAGAUGCCGAAUCGGGACAUUCAGUCUUGGAACACCAUGCUGAAUGGUUAUGCGAAUAAUAGAAAUGUUGAAUCAUUUGAGAAGAUAUUCAAGGAGAUGCCUGAAAGGAAUGUGUUUUCUUGGAAUGGGUUAAUUGGAGGCUAUGCUCGGAAUGGCCUAUUGUCUGAUGUUUUGGAAUCUUUUAAACACAUGUUAGUUGAAGGUUAUGUUCUGCCUAACAAUGCCACGCUUGUCACAGUGCUGUCUACAUGUUCAAGACUAGGUGCCCUUGAUAUGGGUAAGUGGGUGCAUGUGUAUGCAGAAAGGAUUGGUUAUAAGGGAGACCUGCAUGUUGGAAAUGCCCUAAUUGACAUGUAUGCAAAAUGUGGGGUUAUUGAAAAAGCAAUUAAUGUGUUUAAUCAUCAGCAUAAAAAGGAUAUAAUUACUUGGAACACAAUCAUUAAUGGUCUCGCCGUGCAUGGGAAUGCAGCUGAUGCCUUGAGUAUGUUUGAUAGGAUGAAGCAUGGUGGAGUGAAACCAGAUGAAGUUACUUUCGUGGGAAUUCUGUCUGCUUGUACACAUAUGGGGUUAGUCAGGGAUGGAUUCACAUAUUUUCAAUCCAUGGUUGAUAGUUAUUCACUUGUGCCUCAAAUUGAGCAUUAUGGGUGUAUGGUUGAUUUGCUUGGAAAAGCUGGUCUCUUAGAACAAGCUGUAAAUUUUGUGAGAAAGAUGCCGGUGAAACCAGAUGCAGUUAUAUGGGCGGCAUUGCUUGGGGCAUGUAGAAAAUACAAGAAUGUUGAAAUCGCAGAGCUGGCUCUUACACAACUCAUCGAACUCGAACCCAAAAACACCGCAAACUUUGUCAUGCUUUCAAACAUAUAUAAAGACCUUGGAAGAUGGGAAGAUGUUGCCAAGUUGAAGGUUGCAAUGAGAGAUACUGGUUUCAAGAAAAUGCCUGGAUGUAGUGUUAUUGAGGCCAAUGAUAUUGUGGUGGAGUUUUAUUCUUUGGAUGAAAGGCAUCCGGAGACAGAGAAUAUAUACAGGACAUUGCGCGGAUUGACAAUUUUGAUAAGAUCGUAUGGAUAUGUUCCAAAUCCUGGUAUUGUUGCUUGAGGCUGAAUAUGAUUUUUAUGGAUUAAUGCGACUGGAUGCAGGGGACUAAUUCAUGCUUCAACUCCUAGAUCAGUGGAAAAAACCCUACGGGCAAGGCCAAGGCCAAGGGCGGCUUUGGCUAAGUGUAGAUCUAGUCAAGGGGAAUGAAAGUGAGGUUAAUGUAUCUGCUGACUUGGUAGCAAAACGUUUUUUACCAAAGAAAUGCUCAACACAACAACAAAAAAUUUAACAUUCAUGAGUCAUUUUACAAUAUUAUUUUUCACAAAUAUGAAGGACACAUCUAAAAUGUUCCAGUUAAAUAGUUCUCUAGCUUCAGUUAAAGGAAAGUAUAGUUGCCUUUUUAAUAACCAACUUCAGUCCUCUAAUUAGUAGUUGUAAAUUUUAUCCGUUUCGGGUAAAUCAUGUAUGUAUAUGUAUUUUUUUCCAAAACUUCUAACAUCCUGACCUUGAAAGUUUUGUGAAAAAACAAACUAGGAUGCAUGGUUCAGCUCUCACAUCAGGGGCAGGGGCUCUUCAAGAAAAUUGUGCAGAACAAGUACUCCUUGAAUCCAAAUAGUUAUUUAAUGGUUAAUCAAUGAUAUGCCAGAUUUAGAAAUUUCUUUAAAACGAGACUACCUCCUCUGCAUUAACAAUUUUUUCGCUUCCAUUAGAGCAAGAA